rnacentral:rRNA from 1 species
AGUGAACGCUGGCGGUAGGCCUAACACAUGCAAGUCGAACGGCAGCACAGUAAGAGCUUGCUCUUACGGGUGGCGAGUGGCGGACGGGUGAGGAAUACAUCGGAAUCUACUUUUUCGUGGGGGAUAACGUAGGGAAACUUACGCUAAUACCGCAUACGGCCUACGGGUGAAAGCAGGGGAUCUUCGGACCUUGCGCGAUUGAAUGAGCCGAUGUCGGAUUAGCUAGUUGGCGGGGUAAAGGCCCACCAAGGCGACGAUCCGUAGCUGGUCUGAGAGGAUGAUCAGCCACACUGGAACUGAGAAACGGUCCAGACUCCUACGGGAGGCAGCAGUGGGGAAUAUUGGACAAGGGGCGCAAGCCUGAUCCAGCCAGACCGCGGGGGUGAAGAAGGCCUUCGGGUUGUAAAGCCCUUUUGUUGGGAAAGAAAAGCAGCAGGUUAAUACCCCGCUGUUCUGACGGUACCCAAAGAAUAAGCACCGGCUAACUUCGU